CUUACCGCGUCGCGGUCCUCCUGCUCCUGCAGCUGCCGAGCGAUGUAGCUGAUGGAGGAAACGGCCUCCCGUAGCUCGGGAGGCAGGCCCACAGCCCGGGUUGGACCAUCGGAUCCGCUGGAGGCUGGAUUAGCCGAGAAGGCUUGUGGAUAAUUUCCCAUUGGCCAUUCUCUGGGAGGAAGGAGACGGGAGGAGAGAAGAAAGGGACACACAUGUGGAACCUGUCCUUAUUGCUGCCAGAUAUGGCUUGCCCUGCCACAUCCUAGACCUGAGAGUGGCUGAUGUGAUAAGGCACUAGCUGUGAACACUGGGCUGGGCAGCCCAUCUCUGAUGAACGAGUCUCCACUUCCAUAUCUGCGAAAUGUAGAGAAUCCCACUUACCUUCCCGACCCCACAGGUUGUACUGGGCAUUGCUGAAGGAGGCGGGUAUUUAUCAGCCUGUUAGAAACCGCGGAAACCAUAAAGCCCAGGGACAUGGGAGCCAUGCCCACUCACCAA